CAGUAAGAUGUGCACAUCAAGGAGGAAUAUAGUUAUAUGAGAAGUCUACUGUUAAUUUUAUUUUCCUUAAAAGUAUGAAAUAUUACUUGUAGAUAUAAUAAAUCAAAUUAGACAAGUAAAAGAAGCCCCAAAUUGUUCAGAAAUAAACUUGUCAUACCUACUGAGCAGUUAAUGUAAAAUGGAUGGUGGUUGUUAUAAGUCAGAAACUGAUUCUCCUUCAUAGAGUCCCUUACUCCAUCUCUACAAAGCCCUCUCAAGGGCCAGCGCGGAUAUCUCCACUCCACCCCCCAAAAUCUGACUUCCCACUAUAAGGAAUCUCUAUUGUGACUCAGGUUACAUUUCACAUGACUCAUGGUUACUUAGACAUUUUGUGUCUUUUUGAAACCAUAAGCUCUCAGAGAGCAGUAUUUGUUUCUUUUAAUUUUGGAAUUCCACUAAAUCUUAUUACUUAUACUUUGUACAUACCAGUAGUGAAUAAAUACUUGUUGAAUAAAUGAAUGAAGAGAUGAAUGAAUAUCUCAAAGAAUGGUAAUAAUAAUGUGAGCAUAACACUUAUGAAAAUAAAAAGACAAACUUGAGUAUUUAUGUGGUUAAAUAAGAAUUCAAGUGCUGAGAGAAAAGUAGGGAAUAGUUAGGGCAGGGAAGCAUCUCGUCACCACGAACUGCAAAUCCCAAAGUCAAAAUAUGUGUAUAUCAUUUUUAACAACUUAUUGACUACCAUGGUAUACAGUAAAGCCUACACUGUGGCCUGUGCCAAUACAGGUUAAAAACACUCCAGGGGUCUUUAAGUCUACUUAGGUAAGAUUGUGAUACAGGGAGAGGCUCAAGAGAGCAAAAUAUGAUGUGCAGAACAGGAAAUCAUCCAAUAAUAGUAAAAAUAGUAACAAGUGACAAGAUAGAAAAAAAUGUGGAAUUGUAAUUAUUUAUUUUAAAAAAUUAGUUGUAAUUUAGAUUGUAAUUGCUCUCUUAGUUAAUGAGGAAAGGGAAACACAGGGAAUGGCUCAAGUUUAUGAUAUGGAUUUCUCCUUGAAAUAGAAAUUCCACUAACUAAAAGCAAAUCAAGGCAAACAUUGGAACACUAAAAUAUAAAUCAUAUGGAAUAGUUAAUUCUCCAAAGGAAAUAACCCAUAAUUUGGAAACAAAAGAUUAGAAGGAUCUAAUAUUGAAAUAUAAGGAAAGAAAAUGGAAGGAAUUAAGUAAUGAGCUAGAAACAAAAAUAGUGGCUUCUACUGAAAUUGUGUUUAUUUGGCAUCAAACAUGAAAACAUUUACAUGAGAAAUUAAGGAUCUACUUUUUUCACCUGGCUAAUGCCAAUAUCCAUAUGUGGCUGUGUACAAGAUCUCUUCGUGUAUUCGGUUGUAUGUAGCACAAUUUAAAAGAAAGAAAAUCUAAAUAACAACAUUAAAAGCUGUAUUUAUGUUAGUAUACUUUGGGAAAGUUUUGCUCUUUAUUCUUCCACAAAUGUGAUUAUAACAAACUUUCAUAUGCGAAUUGGUGGACACAAAGCUUAAUGGGAUCGAGUUAUGUCAAAUUGUAUAGCCUACAAAAGGCAAUAAGACAUAUGUAUAAUAACCAGUUCUAAAAGUAAACUAUAAGAUUAUGAAGUUUAGAAGAUAACUAAAGGAGUUGACAAAAUGCAAUCAGAGAUCAGAGUUGGAGCUUCUGCCUAUGGUUGUACACGGUGUGAAUCAACUCUAGAUGUUGGUGUGGAUGGCGUCCCUUAGAAUUAUUCCAUACACAAGCAUAUAUGGCUCACCUUAUUGAAAGGGACAGAGAAAUCACGAGGAACAAAAGGACUUUGUUUUGUCAGUGAUGGAGGUGGCAUUAGGUCUUGGAUGAUUGGUAAGAUUUUAUUGUUUCUAAGAAAGGGUUCACCUAGAUACUGCAAAUGGCAUAAACUAAGUCAGGAAGGCCCAAAAGUAUAAACUGUUUAAAGGUCACUUUGUACAGCUGGUCACACAUAAAAGGUUAAAAUGCUGAGAAGAAAGGUGGGCAUCAUUUUGAAAGGUGGUCUUAAUUCUAGGACUAUAGCUUAUGUUCCAUCAGACAAUCUAAAGAGCUGUUUGAGAGGUUAGAAAAGAGGUAGGUGACACAGUCACAGCAAAGGUUUAGGAAAAGUAAUUGGGAUGGUUUAGCCAGGAUGGGAAUAUUUAAGUGGAGGAUAGAAGACUAUCUAAGAGGCCCUGUCUUCCAGUUGGAUGUAAGAAAAUGACCACCUGAAUGGACAUAGGAAAGUAUAGACAGUUUUGGAGAUAUUGCAAUAAAAGAAUCAUCAACAAAUCCUAGGUUCAAAUGGCAUUUGAAGUUUGACAGGAUCCAACAAUGAUUUGGGACCUAGCAGCUAGCAGUGUUAUUGAAAGAAAAAGGGAGGUUAGGAGAAGGUGUUGAUACAUAUCGUUGAAACUGACCAGUGGCCAAAUGUGUCAGUUGAGAUUUGGAAUUUGGGAAUCAUCUACAAAAUUUCUUGAGACCUUGAGAGUAGGACUCAGGUCCUUGGUUACAGAGAAGGCCCAGUCCAGUUUAUAAUAAAUGCAGCAUGUGCUCAGUUAGCAGUUUCUUGACUUACACAGCCUGGUAAGUGGAGAAAUACAUUCUCAUUGUAGGUAAGGCAUGUCGAGAGAUUCAUUUAAAAAAAAAAAAAGCAAGCUAACAUGAGAAAGUAGAUCUUAGAAAUGGAAUAAGGACAAGCUCAAGUCAAGUCUGGACCUUUAGGUCACAGGAUUUGGGAAUGGUAGAUUCCCAGUUAUCAAGAUCUCUGACUCUUUACCAGAGAUUUUCUAAAAGUUUCUUGAGCUUUGGGAAUGGUGUUUUUGAGCUUUCUUUCAUAGCCACAUUAUAAAGUAGAGUAUUAGAAAGGGUUAGACCUGAGUCCAAGUCUUGGAUCUGUAACUUAACUAAUUAUAGGAUCUUAGAUAAGUCAGUGAGUGUCUUUUAACCCUUGGUUUCUCAUAUACUAAAAAUGGUAUAAACUAAAUCAGAAAAAAAAAAACAAAACUACAAACUGCGGUCAGAGGUCACUUUGAUAUUUGGUCAACAAUGUACCACAUAUUUGAUGGUGGUCCCAUAAGAUUAUAAUAAACCUAAGUGUGCAGCAGGCUAUGCCAUCUUGGUUGAUACAAGUAUGCUCUAUGAUAUUUGCACAACAACAAAACCACCUAAUGACUCAUUUCUCGGAACACAUCCCCAUCAUUAAGCGACACAUCACUAUAUCAUGAGAGGAUAAUAAUACUCAUCCUGCUUAUUGCAUGAGGUUGUUAUAAAAAAAAUUCAGGGUAUCAUUACAAAAAUUGUAGUUUAGUUCUAUGUGAAAGCAGUUUUCAGCCUUAAAGUUUGUUUUCUUUACUAGGGGACCCAGGGACAAAAUCAAAAAUAGAUUUUCAAUCUUACUUCUUUACAUUUAAUUAACUCUAGAAUCUAAAAUUUUUUAGACCUUUAAAAAAUAGUCUUUUGAUUUUUUAGAUUCCCUUUUGCUUUUCUAACAUGCUUUAUUUUUAAAAUAUCUUCUAUAUUUUGAUUUUCUGAAGUUUUAAAGUCUCUUAAUUUUUCUUUUUGGAUUGAAUUCUGCUUUCUUACAUACCACUUCUCUAGUUUCUAGACCUCUCUGGUAAAUUAAUAUGAAAUAAUAUAGCUUUUUAGAUGUAUGACAAAAAUACUAAAAGUACUGCAAUUAUUAUUCUUCACACUAUGAAAUUUUGUAUAUAUUUUGUGUAAUGAUCGCAAUAUUUUGAAACCAGUAGUCGUUGAGUUUAGAAUUGCUUAAUAAGCACAAAAGUAAGAAAAGAGAGUAUGUAGGGAAGAAGAGAAAUGCAAAACAAUUUAUUUAGCCGACGUGAUUGAAGAUAAAAAUGAAGGCACUCUAUAAAUUUUUUAAAAAGUAGAUAAGGAUGUACAAAAACUUUACUGGAAAAUUGAAAAUCCUGGAAGCUCAGUGGUUUCCCGCCACUGAACAGGUAAAACACAGUAUGUCAUUUUGUGCUUCCCUAAAUAUAAUAGGUUGUAGUGAUGCCAAAAUGAAACUCUCCCGGGACAUUGUCAGUGUGUAGUGCCAGGAUUUCUUUUUUUUUUUUUUGAGUGGAAAUAUUAAAGGAGAUAUUGGUGCUGAUAUUUCCUCUGUUGGGAGAAGUGAUUUGUAGAACCUAACUAGAUGGUCAGGAUACUGGAGCUGCUUAGUGACUAUGAAGCUGUUAGUUGUCAGUGGCCUCUGACCUGCUUCUCUACCUGUCCCAGGUAUCUGUUUCAUGUUAUUCCCUCUAUCUAGACUUCUCCACUCUUCAUUCUCCAGACUCUGCUUAGUUCUUCACUGCUUCUCCGCACAUCAUUGGUCUAUUACCUUUUGUAGCCUUGCUAGAGAAACUCCGACCUAAAGAGAUUGAUAAAUCUUUCAUCACACACUGAGAUAACUGGUGGUGUCCCUGAGAUAAUUGGUGGUAAGAAAGCCAAAGGGAACUCAUGUGUCCAUUUUUAUGUUCAACAAAUAUUUACUGAGUGUAUACUAUGUAUCAGGCCACUGUUAAUAGAAGUUGAGGCACAACAGUAAAAAUGAUAGACAGUUCCCUGCCCUUAUGGAGUUUAUAUUCUAAUGGAAGGAUGUAGGCAAUAAAUAAGAUCAUUUCAGAUAAUGUUAAGUGUUCCCAGGGAGAUCAGAGAGGGUGGGCUGAU
rnacentral:lncRNA from 1 species